rnacentral:rRNA from 1 species
AGCUAUGUUCGGGAAAGAUAACCGCUGAAAGCAUCUAAGCGGGAAACUUGCCUCAAGAUGAGAUCUCACUGGAACCUCGAGUUCCCUAAAGGGCCGUCGAAGACUACGACGUUGAUAGGUUGGGUGUGUAAGCGCUGUGAGGCGUUGAGCUAACCAAUACUAAUUGCCCGUGAGGCUUGACCAUAUAACACCCAAGCAAUU